AACGAACGCUGGCGGCGUGGAUAAGACAUGCAAGUCGAACGGGAUUACUUUUGUAGCAAUACAAAGUAGUUCAGUGGCGCAAGGGUGCGUAACACGUGGGCAAUCUGCCGAGAUGUGGGGGAUAGCUCGCCGAAAGGACGAAUUAAUACCGCAUGUGAUUAGGAAGACAUCUUUCCGACAUCAAAGCCGGGGCGAACCUGGCGCAUCUUGAUGAGCCCG
rnacentral:rRNA from 1 species